rnacentral:rRNA from 1 species
ACGCACGCUGGCGGCGUGCUUAACACAUGCAAGUCGAGCGGAAAGGCCACUUCGGUGGUACUCGAGCGGCGAACGGGUGAGUAACACGUGAGUAAUCUGCCCCUGGCUUUGGGAUAGCCACCGGAAACGGUGAUUAAUACCGGAUAUGACACAUUCUCGCAUGAGUUUGUGUGGAAAGUUUUUCGGCCAGGGAUGUGCUCGCGGCCUAUCAGCUUGAUGGUGAGGUAAUGGCUCACCAUGGCUUCGACGGGUAGCCGGCCUGAGAGGGUGACCGGUCACACUGGGACUGAGACACGGCCCAGACUCCUACGGGAGGCAGCAGUGGGGAAUAUUGGACAAUGGGCGGAAGCCUGAUCCAGCAACGCCGCGUGAGGGAUGACGGCCUUCGGGUUGUAAACCUCUUUCAGUACCGACGAAGCGCAAGUGACGGUAGGUACAGAAGAAGCACCGGCCAACUACGUG